UGGGUUUGGAGAAGCGCGUCUGCUUUUUGUCCCCGCUGGGCCGCCGUAGCCGAGCAGGUGGUGGUAGGAAGGGCUCAGCGAGUAUCAGGGGGCGGGCUGCGCCACGAGGGUCCUGACCGUGCAGACCUGUGGCUAGGCGCAGGCAGCUGUCUGGCCCUUGCUGGCUGGGCUGCGCAGACCUGGCACAAACUAUGCCUGGAGUCACCAUCUACACAUGCACUUAAUCCCUGUUUACCCUGCCCUAAAACAGCCCCACCCCCAACAGUACUAUUUUAGGGCAGCGGUACUUUGCUGUGGCCUAAUAGCAUCACACAGGUAGAUGGUGACACUUUACUCCACAGCCGAGCGCAUGCACAGAUGCACCCGAUUGUACAGACUCCUCGCAAGGAAGUCAAAUCCUUGCUCCAACUGGUGGAGUCGUUUCCAAGACUGGCUAACGAUUACACCUCUGAAUAAAUCACCUGCUAUCUCACGGCGCUUCAACACUAUCAGUGUUCUGCUCUGUAUCACGUUUCCAAAAAUAUUCCAGCCUGCUGCAAUGUUCACAGUUUUAUAUUCAUGGCACAGGUAGAAAAGGAGGAAGGCAUUGUCCGAGUUUGUGACACUCGCACCCAGCCACCCGCAACCCUUUUCUGCUCCUGAAUAGUUAAAGUUACAACCAUGCAAGCAUUUUAAUAGUGGUCACACAAUCAGCAGACUAAGGAAGAGCACGUACCAACUGCAGAUGCUUCCUCAGCCUGACAAAGGGUAUUUAAACC